CCUACGGGUGGCUGCAGUGGGGAAUAUUGGACAAUGGGCGAAAGCCUGAUCCAGCCAUGCCGCGUGUGUGAAGAAGGCCUUCGGGUUGUAAAGCACUUUCAGUGGGGAAGAAAGCCUUGGGGCUAAUACCCUCGAGGAAGGACAUCACCCACAGAAGAAGCACCGGCUAACUCCGUGCCAGCAGCCGCGGUAAUACGGAGGGUGCGAGCGUUAAUCGGAAUUACUGGGCGUAAAGCGCGCGUAGGCGGUCUGAUAAGCCGGUUGUGAAAGCCCCGGGCUCAACCUGGGAACGGCAUCCGGAACUGUCAGGCUAGAGUGCAGGAGAGGAAGGUAGAAUUCCCGGUGUAGCGGUGAAAUGCGUAGAGAUCGGGAGGAAUACCAGUGGCGAAGGUGGCCUUCUGGACUGACACUGACGCUGAGGUGCGAAAGCGUGGGUAGCAAACAGGAUUAGAUACCCCGGUAGUC
rnacentral:rRNA from 1 species